UACGAAGGGGGCUAGCGUUGCUCGGAAUCACUGGGCGGAAAGGGUGCGUAGGCGGGUCUUUAAGUCAGGGGUGAAAUCCUGGAGCUCAACUCCAGAACUGCCUUUGAUACUGAAGAUCUUGAGUCCGGGAGAGGUGAGUGGAACUGCGAGUGUAGAGGUGAAAUUCGUAGAUAUUCGCAAGAACACCAGUGGCGAAGGCGGCUCACUGGCCCGGUACUGACGCUGAGGCACGAAAGCGUGGGGAGCAAACAGG
rnacentral:rRNA from 1 species